rnacentral:snRNA from 1 species
AACAAACACUGCUUAAUACAUC